rnacentral:rRNA from 1 species
CAGUAGCCGCGGGAAUACGUAGGUGGCUAGCGUUGUCCGGAAUUAUUGGGCGUAAAGGACUCGCAGGCGGUUUCUUAAGUCUGAUGUGAAAGCCCCCGGCUCAACCGGGGAGGGUCAUUGGAAACUGGGAAACUUGAGUGCAGAAGAGGAGAGUGGAAUUCCACGUGUAGCGGUGAAAUGCGUAGAGAUGUGGAGGAACACCAGUGGCGAAGGCGACUCUCUGGUCUGUAACUGACGCUGAGGAGCGAAAGCGUGGGGAGCAAACAGGAUUAGAUACCCCGGUAGUCCCUGUCUCUUAUAC